rnacentral:rRNA from 1 species
CCCUUAGAUGUCCUGGGCCGCACGCGCGCUACACUGAGUGUCUGAGAUACGAGUCUGCCUGGUCCGGCAAGGUCUAGGUAAUCGCUAAAAGACACAUCAUGCUUGGGAUAGAUUAUUGCAAAUAUUAAUCUUGAACGAGGAAUUCCUAGUAAGCGCAAGUCAACAGCUUGCGUUGAUUACGUCCCUGCCCUUUGUACACACCGCCCGUCGCUACUACUGAUUGGAUGUUUAAGCGAGGUUCUCGAACUGCUAGCGACUUAGCUUCGGUGAGGUCGCAGUGUGGGAAGUGAACCUAGCUUUGGUGUCUAGAGGUAGUAAAAGUCGUAACA